rnacentral:rRNA from 1 species
GACGGAGGAUGCAAGUGUUAUCCGGAAUCACUGGGCGUAAAGCGUCUGUAGGUGGUUUAAUAAGUCAACUGUUAAAUCUUGAGGCUCAACCUCAAAAUCGCAGUCGAAAACUAUUAGGCUAGAGUAUAGUAGGGGUAAAGGGAAUUUCCAGUGGAGCGGUGAAAUGCGUAGAGAUUGGAAAGAACACCGAUGGCGAAGGCACUUUACUGGGCUAUUACUAACACUCAGAGACGAAAGCUAGGGUAGCAAAUGGG